rnacentral:tRNA from 1 species
GAUGGAGUAGUGCAAGUGGUCAAAGCCGGCGGACUGUAACCCCGCUCCGGAAGGUUCGUAGGUUCGAAUCCUACCUCCAUCACCA